CCUGAUGCAGCAACGCCGCGUGAGGGAUGACGGCCUUCGGGUUGUAAACCUCUUUUAGCAGGGAAGAAGCGUGAGUGACGGUACCUGCAGAAAAAGCGCCGGCUAACUACGUGCCAGCAGCCGCGGUAAUACGUAGGGCGCAAGCGUUAUCCGGAAUUAUUGGGCGUAAAGAGCUCGUAGGCGGUUUGUCGCGUCUGCUGUGAAAUCCCGAGGCUCAACCUCGGGCCUGCAGUGGGUACGGGCAGACUAGAGUGCGGUAGGGGAGAUUGGAAUUCCUGGUGUAGCGGUGGAAUGCGCAGAUAUCAGGAGGAACACCGAUGGCGAAGGCAGAUCUCUGGGCCGUAACUGACGCUGAGGAGCGAAAGGGUGGGGAGCAAACAGGCUUAGAUACCCUGGUAGUCCACCCCGUAAACGUUGGGAACUAGUUGUGGGGUCCAUUCCACGGAUUCCGUGACGCAGCUAACGCAUUAAGUUCCCCGCCUGGGGAGUACGGCCGCAAGGCUAAAACUCAAAGGAAUUGACGGGGACCCGCACAAGCGGCGGAGCAUGCGGAUUAAUUCGAUGCAACGCGAAGAACCUUACCAAGGCUUGACAUAUACGAGAACGGGCCAGAAAUGGUCAACUCUUUGGACACU
rnacentral:rRNA from 1 species